UUUAAUUGAUUAUGACGUACUUGUACUGAUUGAGAUUUUAACACCCUGUUGUAGUGAGCCAACGCGGUGUAGUAACACGAGAAAUAACCUGCCCAGAAGUAGGGGAUAACACCUGGCAACAGAUGCUAAUACCGUAUAACAGAGAACACCGGAUGGUUUUCUUUUAAAAGAUGGAUCUGCUAUCACUUCUGGAUGGACCCGCGGCGUAUUAGGCUACUUGGUGAGGUAAAAGCUCACCAAGGGAGCGAUACGUACCCGACCUGAGAGGGUAAUCGUACCACAUUGGGACUGAGACACGGAUCCAGACUCCUACGGGAGGCAGCAGUAGGGAAUCUUCCACAAUGGACGCGAGUCUGAUGGAGCAACGCCGCUUGAGUGAAGAAGGGUUUCGGCUCGUAAAGCUCUGUUGUUAUAGAAGAACGUGGGUAAGAGUAACUGUUUACCCAGUGACGGUAUUUAACCAGAAAGCCACGGCUAACUACAUGCCAGCAGCCGCGGUAAUACGUAGGUGGCAAGCGUUAUCCGGAUUUAUUGGGCGUAAAGCGAGCGCAGGCGGUCUUUUAAGUCUAAUGUGAAAGCCUUCGGCUCAACCGAAGAAGUGCAUUGGAAACUGGGAGACUUGAGUGCAGAAGAGGACAGUGGAACUCCAUGUG
rnacentral:rRNA from 1 species